AAAAUACUAUCAUAUACAACACCUAAAACAUUGCCAAAACUUGCAAAAAUUAGGGGAAAAAAAUAAUCUCAACACCAAUAUAUUAGCAGCAGCAGAGCUCUUGCAGGCUCAAACUCCCCCAUUUCCACUUGGGCAAUAGAGUUCUCGCCAUGCUGAAGAUGACAUGGUUAUUCUUAUACCAUCAUCUGCCAAGAGCUCCAUAAAGUCAGAUCACAUA
rnacentral:misc_RNA from 1 species